ACCGGAUUAGAUACCCUGGUAGUCCACGCCCUAAACGAUGUCAACUAGGUGUUGGGAGCGCAAGUUCUCAGUACCGCAGCUAACGCGUGAAGUUGACCGCCUGGGGAGUACGGUCGCAAGAUUAAAACUCAAAGGAAUUGACGGGGACCCGCACAAGCGGUGGAUGAUGUGGAUUAAUUCGAUGCAACGCGAACAACCUUACCUACCCUUGACAUGUCUGGAAGCCUGCUGAAAGGCGGGUGUGCCCGAAAGGGAACCGGAACACAGGUGCUGCAUGGCUGUCGUCAGCUCGUGUCGUGAGAUGUUGGGUUAAGUCCCGCAACGAGCGCAACCCUUGUCCUUAGUUGCUACGCAAGGGCACUCUAAGGAGACUGCCGGUGACAAACCGGAGGAAGGUGGGGAUGACGUCAAGUCCUCAUGGCCCUUAUGGGUAGGGCUUCACACGUCAUACAAUGGUCGGUACAGAGGGUAGCCAACCCGCGAGGGGGAGCCAAUCCCAGAAAGCCGAUCGUAGUCCGGAUCGCAGUCUGCAACUCGACUGCGUGAAGUCGGAAUCGC
rnacentral:rRNA from 1 species